AUUGAACGCUGGCGGCAGGCCUAACACAUGCAAGUCGAGCGAGCGGAGGACGGGUGAGUAAUGUAUGGGGACUGCCCGAUAGAGGGGGAUAAAUACUGGAAACGGUGGCUAAUACCGCAUACUAUCGGAUAACCCAUAGGGGAUUAGCUAGUAGGUGGGGUAAAGGCUCACCUAGGGCACGAUCUCUAGCUGGUCUGAGAGGAUGAUCAGCAACACUGGGACGAUGAAACGGCCCAGAGUCCUACGGAGGGGGAAGUGUGGAAUAUUGCACAAUGGGCGCAAGCCUGAUGCCGCCAUGCCGCGUGUAUGAAGAAGGCCUUAGGGUUGUAAACCUCUUUCGCUAUCGAACGGGUAGGUGGAGAAGAAGCGCCGGCUAACUACGUGCCAGCAGCCGCGGUAAUAC
rnacentral:rRNA from 1 species